rnacentral:rRNA from 1 species
ACAAUGGAGAGUUUGAUCCUGGCUCAGGAUGAACGCUAGCUACAGGCUUAACACAUGCAAGUCGAGGGGAAACGACAUUGAAGCUUGCUUCGAUGGGCGUCGACCGGCGCACGGGUGAGUAACGCGUAUCCAACCUGCCUCUGACUAAGGGAUAACCCGGCGAAAGUCGGACUAAUACCUUAUGAGGUUUUCAGCAGACAUCUAACGAAAACGAAAGAUUUAUCGGUCAGUGAUGGGGAUGCGUCUGAUUAGCUUGUUGGCGGGGUAACGGCCCACCAAGGCAACGAUCAGUAGGGGUUCUGAGAGGAAGGUCCCCCACAUUGGAACUGAGACACGGUCCAAACUCCUACGGGAGGCAGCAGUGAGGAAUAUUGG